UUUAAGGUAGCCUGGCACCACCCUCCUCCGUACGUCCACUCAAUUUUCAUUGUCCUUCAGUACUCCGUCUGGGUUUGCGGUACAUUCUUGGAUUUUCUCCGGCCGAAUCUUUACCGGUCCAAUCAGCGAACAGAGGGAGUGGCUGAGAACGAUGACGUUAAGGUCGUGCGCUAGAGUUGGAGAAAGAUGCGAGCGAAGCCAUUUGGUCCGUUGUGGCAAUGCUGCCGAAUAUCCAGAAGUUAAAGCACAAG